rnacentral:piRNA from 1 species
UGGAAAGCUUCCAGAAACCUUCCUUAGUGGU